rnacentral:tRNA from 1 species
GCGCCCGUAGCUCAGCAGGAUAGAGCACGAGAUUCCUAAUCUCGGGGUCGCAGGUUCGAAUCCUGCCGGGCGCGCCA